rnacentral:rRNA from 1 species
CCUACGGGAGGCAGCAGUGAGGAAUAUUGGUCAAUGGACGAGAGUCUGAACCAGCCAAGUAGCGUGAAGGAUGAAUGCCCUAUGGGUCGUAAACCUCUUUUAUAUGGGAAUAAAAUGUUCCACGUGUGGGAUUUUGUAUGUACCAUAAGAAUAAGGAUCGGCUAACUCCGUGCCAGCAGCCGCGGUAAUACGGAGGAUCCGAGCGUUAUCCGGAUUUAUUGGGUUUAAAGGGAGCGUAGGCGGUUUGUUAAGUCAGUUGUGAAAGUUUGCGGCUCAACCGGAAAAUUGCAGUUGAAACUGGCAGUCUUGAGUACAGUAGAGGUAGGCGGAAUUCGUGGUGUAGCGGUGAAAUGCAUAGAUAUCACGAAGAACUCCGAUUGCGAAGGCAGUUCACUGGACUGCAACUGACGCUGAGGCUCGAAAGUGUGGGUAUCAAACAGGAUUAGAUACCCCAGUAGUC